UACGUAGGGUGCAAGCGUUGUCCGGAAUUAUUGGGCGUAAAGAGCUCGUAGGCGGUUUGUUGCGUCGGCUGUGAAAUCCCGAGGCUCAACCUCGGGUCUGCAGUCGAUACGAGCAAACUAGAGUGUUGCAGGGGAGACUGGAAUUCCUGGUGUAGCGGUGAAAUGCGCAGAUAUCAGGAGGAACGCCGGUGGCGAAGGCGGGUCUCUGGGCAACAACUGACGCUGAGGAGCGAAAGCGUGGGAGCGAACAGG
rnacentral:rRNA from 1 species